UGAGGAAUAUUGCGCAAUGGGCGAAAGCCUGACGCAGCGACACCGCGUGAAGGAUGAAGGUUUUAGGAUUGUAAACUUCUGUUAAGCGAGAUAAAAGAAAUAGCUCUAAUACAGCUAGAAGAUGAUAGUACCGCUAGAGAAAGCACCGGCUAACUUCGUGCCAGCAGCCGCGGUAAGACGAGGGGUGCGAACGUUAUUCGGAUUGAUUGGGCGUAAAGGGUGCGUAGGCGGCGUGUUAAGUCAAUUGUUAAAUUCCUCAGCCUAACUGAGGGUAUACAGUAGAAACUGGCAUGCUAGAGGAUGGAAGAGAGAAGUGGAAUUCUCGGAGUAGCGGUGGAAUGCGUAGAUCUCGAGAGGAACACCGAUGGCGAAGGCAGCUUCUUGGUCCAUAUCUGACGCU
rnacentral:rRNA from 1 species